rnacentral:rRNA from 1 species
GACGAACGCUGGCGGCGUGCCUAAUACAUGCAAGUCGAGCGAACCAAUAAGAAGCUUGCUUUUUGUUGGUUAGCGGCGGACGGGUGAGUAACACGUGGGUAACCUGCCUGUAAGACCGGGAUAACUCCGGGAAACCGGUGCUAAUACCGGAUAGAUUAUCUUUCCGCAUGGAGAGAUAAGGAAAGAUGGCUAUUGCCAUCACUUACAGGUGUGCCCGCGGCGCAUUAGCUAGUUGGUGGGGUAACGGCUCACCAAGGCGACGAUGCGUAGCCGACCUGAGGGGGUGAUAGGCCGCACGGGGACUGAGCCACGGCCCAGACUCCUACGGGAGGCAGCAGUAGGGAAUCGUCCGCAAUGGACGAAAGUCUGACGGAGCAACGCCGCGUGAGAGAAGAAGGUCUUCGGAGCGUAAAGCUCUGUUGUUAGGGAAGAACAAGUAUCGGAGGAAAUGCCGGUACCUUGACGGUACCUGACGAGAAAGCCACGGCUAACUACGUG